CUCUCCUUCUCCCAGAGAGCGGAGCAGGAACAGCUCUUAUAAGAGCUAGUGAUUAUAAUUCCUGGGGAGUAAAGUGAUAUAGCAAUCCCCAGGAUAGAUACAGCCGUUUCCCCAACACAUGAGAUGAGACUCUAUGUUGAGGGUAAGCAGGAACAGAAUUUUGAUGGAGGCACACUGGCCUUUUAUGCAAGUUUCCCAACAAGGGUGACACCCAGGUGGACCUUGUUGGGCACAGGGAUACAAAGUGAAUAAACCAAUAAAAACAGAGUCAUACAGUGAGACACUCCCAUACACAAACAAUAGAAUCCCUCCUCUGUGCUUGGGAUGAAUCAGGAACUCUACUAAUCUAACCCAAUUAUCUCCAAGCACAGAAAAAAACAUACAAUUUUAUGAAACCCCAAAAAGUACCUUAAAAACACAUAAAACCCCAUAAGUUACAUCCCCUGAUAGCCCCGAUCUGGGUGAACAACAUAUACAAAAAUCACCCAGAUCGGUUCAGGAUUUCCUGGAAGUCAUAGUUUUCACCGACCGUUCACAUGGUCCUAUGCCCAAAACAGUUCCAGAGAAAUCAGUGCUGUCAGUCAAGUUCGGUAGUCUUUUCCCUG